rnacentral:rRNA from 1 species
CCGGUUGAUCCUGCCGGACCUGACUGCUAUCAGAUUGAUACUAAGCCAUGUUAGUCAUUGUAGUAAUACAAGGCAGACGGCUCAGUAACACGUAGUCAACCUAACUUAUGGACGGGGAUAACCUCGGGAAACUGAGAAUAAUACCCGAUAGGUCAUGAUGCCUGGAAUGGUUUAUGACUCAAAUGAAUGUCGCCGUAGGAUGGGACUGCGAGCUAUCAGCUUGUUGGUGAGGUAAUGGCCCACCAAGGCUAUAACAGCUACGGGCUCUGAGAGGAGUAGCCCGGAGAUGGGUACUGAGACAAGGACCCAGGCCCUAUGGGGCGCAGCAGGCGAGAAAACUUUGCAAUGCGCGAAAGCUCGACAAGGUUAAUCUGAGUGGUUCCUGCUAAAGGAACCUUUUGUUAGUCGUAGAACCACUAAUGAAUAAGGGGUGGGCAAGUUCUGGUGUCAGCCGCCGCGGUAAAACCAGCACCUCAAGUGGUCAGGAUGAUUAUUGGGCCUAAAGCAUCCG